rnacentral:lncRNA from 10 species
CUCGAGCUCAGGAGUUCACGACCAGCUUGGGUACAUUGCAACACCCGGUCUCUACAAAAUAUCAAACAAUUAGCUGGGCAUGGUGGCAUGCAUCUGUAGUCCCAGCUACUCAGGUGGCUGAGGUGGGAGGAUCGCUUGAGCCCGGGAGGUUGAGGCUGUAGUGAACUGUGAUUGUGCCACUGCACUCCAGUCUGGAUGACAAAGUGAGACCCUAUCUCAAACCAACCAACCAAUUGUGAUUGCCCCAGCAUCAAUAAACUUGGCUGCUGUG